rnacentral:lncRNA from 1 species
CGGAUAUCUGGGAGGGCCCUUUUAUGGUUAAAUGUGGGAAGAGAGGAGCUCUUUGUGUUUUGAAGAUAAAGGCGUUGAGUGCAUUCCAUCAAAACGCACACAGCCUGCUCUGGAAUAACUGGAAAAUGGACAAACGGGAGGAACCGGGGUACCCCGACAACAACAUACAGGCCUGCACCAAAAGGAAGAAGAGCCUCUGGUGAUGUAUGCUAACAAUUCACCUUUUUGUAUGGUUUAUUAAAACAAAAGCA